rnacentral:rRNA from 1 species
UACGAAGGUGGCAAGCGUUGUUCGGAAUCACUGGGCUUAAAGCGCACGUAGGCGGCCCGUCAAGUGCCUUGUGAAAUCCCCCGGCUCAACCGGGGAAUUGCUUGGCAUACUGUCGGGCUUGAGGCAGGUAGGGGCGCGUGGAACUCUUGGUGGAGCGGUGGAAUGCGUAGAUAUCAAGAGGAACGCCGGUGGCGAAAGCGACGCGCUGGGCCUGUCCUGACGCCGAGGUGCGAAAGCCAGGGGAGCAAAC